UUUUUUCCUGGCCUUAUUCACCCCUCUCAGCGCUCUCUCGCUAUAUGACUGUGUAGUUAUGAUGUGUGUAGUUUUAGCUAGUGUGUGCUUCAUAGACGUGUGUUUCAAUCCAAAGAGGAAAUCAGAGAGCAAUUGUAGUGUGCUGCUAUUCUUCGUGCUGUCCUGGUCGCUUGAAGUGCUUGUGUUUGAAGUGACACUUGGCAGUCAUAGUGUGUAGAUGAUUUCAGAAGAACAAGAGUGGUGUGGGUGAAUGAAGGUGAAUUUGGUGACGAUGAUCUGUGACUUCGAAGAAACUAUGACAUUCAAAAAUGUGAAUUUGUGUUCAUUCCUGGAAAUAUUACGACUUAAACUAACCUGCAUACUUAAUGAUUGUUUACCAUUAAAGAGGCGGCGUCAAAAUCGCCUUAGAAGAAUAGGAUCUCGCUGAGCCUCAAAUGUGAAGCCCCCCCCCCCCCCCCCA